rnacentral:sRNA from 12 species
AGAAUAUAUUUAUUCUUAAAGUUGAUUAAUGAUGUUAUAUGCUCGGACGCUUCUUGCAUGGUUAAGAGUUUGUUCAUUUAUCUUAAUUUCAUGGGUAUAUACUAUGUAAGUAUUUAUAAAUGAAUAUUAUUUCUUAUACAUUAAUCUUGGAAAA